rnacentral:rRNA from 1 species
AAUGAACGCUGGCGGCAGGCCUAACACACGCAAGUCGAACGGAUCCUUCGGGAUUAGUGGCGGACGGGUGAGUAACGCGUGGGAACAUACCCUUUGGUACGGAAUAGCCUCGGGAAACUGGGAGUAAUACCGUAUGUGGUCGAGAGACGAAAGAUUUAUCGCCAAAGGAUUGGCCCGCGUUGGAUUAGGUAGUUGGUGGGGUAAUGGCCUACCAAGCCGACGAUCCAUAGCUGGUUUGAGAGGAUGAUCAGCCACACUGGGACUGAGACACGGCCCAGACUCCUACGGGAGGCGGCAGUGGGGAAUCUUAGACAAUGGGGGAAACCCUGAUCUAGCCAUGCCGCGUGAUCGAUGAAGGCCUUAGGGUUGUAAAGAUCUUUCAGGUGGGAAGAUAAUGACUGUACCACCAGAAGAAGCCCCGGCUAACUCCGUGCCAGCCGCCGCGGUAA